rnacentral:rRNA from 1 species
CCUACGGGUGGCUGCAGUGGGGAAUAUUGCGCAAUGGGCGAAAGCCUGACGCAGCGACGCCGCGUGAGGGAUGAAGGUCUUCGGAUCGUAAACCUCUGUCAGCAGGGAAGAACGGUCACUGUGCUAAUCAGCAGUGAAUUGACGGUACCUGCAAAGGAAGCACCGGCUAACUCCGUGCCAGCAGCCGCGGUAAUACGGAGGAUGCGAGCGUUAUCCGGAUUUAUUGGGUUUAAAGGGUGCGCAGGCGGUCUGUUAAGUCAGCGGUCAAAGCCCGGGGCUCAACCCCGGCCCGCCGUUGAAACUGGCAGUCUCGAGUUGGAGAGAAGUAUGCGGAAUGCGCGGUGUAGCGGUGAAAUGCAUAGAUAUCGCGCAGAACUCCGAUUGCGAAGGCAGCAUGCCGGCUCCACACUGACGCUGAGGCACGAAAGCGUGGGUAUCGAACAGGAUUAGAUACCCUAGUAGUC